CGUAAAUCUAAACGACCCGACCUGUCAAUCUUUAGGUUCCCCAAUAAAAAAGAAAGGGAUUGGUCUCCAAAAAAUGGCCCGCGGGACACAUUAGGCCCAGUGACCAGGAGAUUUUUCGACCUCAGAUUCGAGUCCGAGAAUGCGGCGGCUGUUAUCCGUUAUAUCCCUCGAAUUGUCGAUAAAUCGCAAGUAAUGAUCACAAGCCCGCCGUGAAGAAGGAUGUCAACAGUGGGUCCAGAAUACUCGUCGACAAGAUCUCCU